UACGUAGGGAGCAAGCGUUGUCCGGAAUCAUUGGGCGUAAAGCGCGCGUAGGUGGCCUCGUAAGUCCGCUGUGAAAGUCAAAGGCUCAACCUUUGAAAGCCGGUGGAUACUGUGAGGCUAGAGUACGGAAGAGGCGAGUGGAAUUCCUGGUGUAGCGGUGAAAUGCGCAGAUAUCAGGAAGAACACCUAUGGCGAAGGCAGCACUCUGGGACGGUACUGACGCUGAGACGCGAAAGCGUGGGGAGCGAACAGG
rnacentral:rRNA from 1 species